rnacentral:rRNA from 1 species
AUUGAACGCUGGCGGCAGGCCUAACACAUGCAAGUCGAGCGCGCGGCGGACGGGUGUGUAAUGUGUGGGAAACUGUCUGAUGGAGAGGGAUAACUAUUGGAAACGGUAUCUAAUACCGCAUACCAUCUGAUAUGCCCAGAUGGGAUGAGCUAGUGGGUGGGGUAACGGCUCACCUAGGCGACGAUCCCUAGCUGGUCUGAGAGGAUGACCAGCCACACUGGAACUGAGACACGGUCCAGACUCCUACGGGAGGCAGCAGUGGGGAAUAUUGCACAAUGGGCGCAAGCCUGAUGCAGCCAUGCCGCGUGUGUGAAGAAGGCCUUCGGGUUGUAAAGCACUUUCAGCGGGGAGGCGUUACCCGCAGAAGAAGCACCGGCUAACUCCGUGCCAGCAGCCGCGGUAAUAC